AACGAACGCUGGCGGCAUGCCUAACACAUGCAAGUCGAACGAGACCUUCGGGUCUAGUGGCGCACGGGUGCGUAACGCGUGGGAACCUGCCUUUAGGUUCGGAAUAACUCAGAGAAAUUUGAGCUAAUACCGGAUAAUGUCUUCGGACCAAAGAUUUAUCGCCUUUAGAUGGGCCCGCGUUGGAUUAGCUAGUUGGUGGGGUAAAGGCCUACCAAGGCGACGAUCCAUAGCUGGUCUGAGAGGAUGAUCAGCCACACUGGGACUGAGACACGGCCCAGACUCCUACGGGAGGCAGCAGUGGGGAAUAUUGGACAAUGGGCGAAAGCCUGAUCCAGCAAUGCCGCGUGAGUGAUGAAGGCCUUAGGGUUGUAAAGCNCUUUUACCCGAGAUGAUAAUGACAGUAUCGGGAGAAUAAGCUCCGGCUAACUCCGUGCCAGCAG
rnacentral:rRNA from 1 species